AUCCACACAAGUCUUGCUGCAGCUGCAUUUUGUCUCUCCCAAUGAUAUUGGGAGAGGUUAGUCGUUUCUGCCUUUUGUUUAUACUGUGUAAUAAAACCUCUCCAAAAAGUGCAAGUCUCAUCUCGCCUCCCAAUUAUUAGCAUCUCGCCUCACAACACAACGACGACGACGAUACACAGAUCGUCUCUGUUGGAUUUCGAAAGAUAUUGAUUUCUUAAUUUUAAUUCCCGCUGGCACAUUUUCUUUGUGUGAAUUUACUGCGUACGUGCACAGCCAACGUUUUUAUUUUACUCUUUACUCAGACUUUGAAGUAGCAAGUUACGUUUUUUAGGCUCUUCUUAGUGAUUAAAUUGUCAUUGUCUUGUUAAGUUAAAAUUGCAUUUGAGUGAUUUAAAAUAAAGUAGUGUCCUGCCAGGAGGAAAUAA